rnacentral:tRNA from 1 species
GCGAGAGUGGCGGAAUUGGUAGACGCGCACGUUUGAGGGGCGUGUGGUUAUGCCAUACGGGUUCGAUUCCCGUUUCUCGCACCA